rnacentral:misc_RNA from 1 species
GCUGAAGAACGCAGCGAAAUGCGAUACUUGGUGUGAAUUGCAGAAUCCCGUGAACCAUCGAGUCUUUGAACGCAAGUUGCGCCCGAAGCCAUUAGGCCGAGGGCACGCCUGCCUGGGCGUCACACGUCGUUGCCCCCCCAUCUACUCCUUCGGGAUUGCGGGGGGCGGAUGAUGGCCUCCCGUGCGCCUCGUCGCGCGGUUGGCCUAAAUGCCAAGUCCCCGGCGACGCACGCCACGACAAUCGGUGGUUGCGAAACCUCGGUUGCCUGUCGUGUGCGGUCGUCGCGCAUCGAGGGCUCGAAAAAAUUGCCGGGCUUCGGCUCGACUUUCAACGCGACCCCAGGUCAGGCGGGGUUACCCGCUGAAUUUAAGCAUAUCAAUAAGCGGAGGA